GGCAGUAUAGUAUAGUGGUAAGGAGCAGAGCUUGUAACUGAAAGGUUGCUGGUUCAAUUCUCUGCUGCUGCUG